UGCAUGUUUCGCUUGUUUUAUGUAAUUACAGUUGAAUUGAGAGACUGGAAAUUAAAGGUACACGAAAUUUGUUUGAUUAAGUGGAUGGAUAAAACGAUAGUCUUAUUAGAUAUCUUGGGAGAUGGUGGACAGACCGGUUACAUAGGGAACCUUACCGUGAACGUUGCCUCAUAUCGGUCGAGGUAUCGACGUUCGAUAAUUUGGUGCUCAUAUCGGAUGGGAUGUGGGGACGACCCAUUUCACCCUCAUACCGGAUAGGGUAUUGAGGGAUGGUAUCUUUUGGCGCUCAUACCGGACGAGGUAUGGGGAUGGCCCGUUAUUUGAAAAUGUUGAAUAU
rnacentral:lncRNA from 1 species